AGAAGUAUGCAGAUUCUUCAGAACUAAAACUGAUCCACAUUUCCAUGUCUAGGAAUGCAACAAUUCAGUUUAGACAUCCAAUCGCAGUUAGGUUCAGGUUCAUGCUAUUUUACAUGGCCAGCAACAGCAAAUGGAAGGCCUUCGCCUUAGGGAACUACUUGUACGUAUGUAUGUCCUCUGACUAAACUGAAUAAAAUCACCACGUCGCUAUAAUAUGGUGUCCCAUUCUCAUCCUUGUAUGACCUUUCUCCUCCCAAAAUUAAAUAUUUCUGAACCAAAACAGAAAGAAAUUCGUUUCAUUUACUUUUAGCAACAUGUAACAAAAAUAAAUUGAUAACAUAAAGCCUACUAAAUCUUCCUUUGGUGGAAUCUGCACUUUCAUCUACCCAAAAGGGAACAAUUUUGCACAAUAAAGCACACAUGCGGCAAGGACUAAUACACAUGAAGUGAGAUCUCCCCCCCUCAAAAAAAGUGAAAUUAACCUAUCAUACAUAUCUGUCCCUUAGUAGAAGUAUCUACUAAUGCCGAACAGUACAGUUCUUGGAAAAAUGAAGGGAAAAGGGAACAAAUUUAGAACUGAAGCAUAUUUGAAACAUAUUGAUAAGAAAUAAUUUUUGAAUUUUUUUAUGACCUGAUGCAUGGUCAUGGACUUGUUGGUGGAUGGAUGACGGCGCAAGGGAAGCUGCUCGCUGUAUAAAACACACAAUAAGCAAAAUCAACCUACACAUACUUAUACAAUAGCAGGGGUAAAUCAAAAGGCACAAAUUUAAAGGAAAGCUCACAGUGAUGUUAAAUAAUCAGUCAAAAUUCUAUUUU
rnacentral:rRNA from 1 species